AUUGAACGCUGGCGGCAGGCCUAACACAUGCAAGUCGAGCGAGCGGCGGACGGGUGAGUAAUGUCUGGGAAACUGCCUGAUGGAGGGGGAUAACUACUGGAAACGGUAGCUAAUACCGCAUACCAUCGGAUGUGCCCAGAUGGGCUUAGCUAGUAGGGGGGGUAACGGAUCACCUAGGCGACGAUCCCUAGCUGGUCUGAGAGGAUGACCAGCAACACUGGAACGGAGACACGGUCCAGAGUCCUACGGGAGGCAGCAGUGGGGAAUAUUGGACAAUGGGCGCUAGCCUGAUGCAGCCAUGCCGCGUGUAUGAAGAAGGCCAUCGGGUUGUAAAGUACUUUCAGCGGGGAGGCGUUACCCGCAGAAGAAGCACCGGCUAACUCCGUGCCAGCAGCCGCGGUAAUAC
rnacentral:rRNA from 1 species